rnacentral:rRNA from 1 species
GUUUGAUCCUGGCUCAGGACGAACGCUGGCGGCGUGCCUAAUACAUGCAAGUCGAGCGAGCGGAACUAACAGAUUUACUUCGGUAAUGACGUUAGGAAAGCGAGCGGCGGAUGGGUGAGUAACACGUGGGGAACCUGCCCCAUAGUCUGGGAUACCACUUGGAAACAGGUGCUAAUACCGGAUAAGAAAGCAGAUCGCAUGAUCAGCUUUUAAAAGGCGGCGUAAGCUGUCGCUAUGGGAUGGCCCCGCGGUGCAUUAGCUAGUUGGUAAGGUAAAGGCUUACCAAGGCGAUGAUGCAUAGCCGAGUUGAGAGACUGAUCGGCCACAUUGGGACUGAGACACGGCCCAAACUCCUACGGGAGGCAGCAGUAGGGAAUCUUCCACAAUGGACGCAAGUCUGAUGGAGCAACGCCGCGUGAGUGAAGAAGGUUUUCGGAUCGUAAAGCUCUGUUGUUGGUGAAGAAGGAUAGAGGUAGUAACUGGCCUUUAUUUGACGGUAAUCAACCAGAAAGUCACGGCUAACUACGUGCCAGCAGCCGCGGUAAUACGUAGGUGGCAAGCGUUGUCCGGAUUUAUUGGGCGUAAAGCGAGCGCAGGCGGAAGAAUAAGUCUGAUGUGAAAGCCCUCGGCUUAACCGAGGAACUGCAUCGGAAACUGUUUUUCUUGAGUGCAGAAGAGGAGAGUGGAACUCCAUGUGUAGCGGUGGAAUGCGUAGAUAUAUGGAAGAACACCAGUGGCGAAGGCGGCUCUCUGGUCUGCAACUGACGCUGAGGCUCGAAAGCAUGGGUAGCGAACAGGAUUAGAUACCCUGGUAGUCCAUGCCGUAAACGAUGAGUGCUUAAUGCGUUAGCUCCGGCAC